GUAGUGGCCGGCAAGGCGAGUGUGCUGCGCCUGUGUGCGGUUGCGGCCGUGUGUGUUGUGCUGCUUUGGGAAGUGCUGGCCCGAAACCAAACGACCGGGGACACAUGUGAACUUCAAGGAAUAUGGCAGGCGCGAAAUCGGGCGUUCACGUGCUCCAGCUCAAGCCCAUCAGUGUGCCCAAGAGCCUGCAAGAAGGCAACAAAUUCGUCAAAUGGGACGACCAGAAAAACGAGUGUCGUUACAUCAGGAUGCAUAGCUGUGAAGUAUUACCCUGGACUCUGGAAGCAGGUGUGUAAAUGUUUUCACGAAUACCGAUGGACAAGCGGUGGGACAGCAGCUCUUUUCUUGUGGGUCUUUUUUCGCUGCAUAAGAAGGAAUAAAGCGCGGUUUGAUUGAUUGAUUGAAGUCGAUGUGAAGGCCUAAGUUGCGACUCGUCAGCUUUUUCUCGUGCCUCGUGUUCUCUAGCAGCACGUCGUACUCAUAAAGUGAAAAUAAAGAUUGAUUUGUUCAUAACCGA